rnacentral:rRNA from 1 species
CACGUGGGAACAUACCUUUUAGUACGGAACAACCAUUGGAAACGAUGGCUAAUACCGUAUACGCCCUACGGGGAAAGAUUUAUCGCUAAAAGAUUGCCGCGCUAGAUUAGUUAGUUGGUGAGGUAAUGGCUCACCAAGGCUACGAUCUAUAGCUGGUUUGUAGAGGAUGAUCAGCCACACUGGGACUGAGACACGGCCCAGACUCCUACGGGAGGCAGCAGUGGGGAAUAUUGGACAAUGGGGGCGAACCCUGAUCCAGCGAUGCCGCGUGAGUGAAGAAGGCCUUAGGGUUGUAAAGCU